CAGUAGCCGCGGUAAUACGUAGGGUGCAAGCGUUAAUCGGAAUUACUGGGCGUAAAGCGUGCGCAGGCGGUUUGUUAAGACAGAUGUGAAAUCCCCGGGCUCAACCUGGGAACUGCAUUUGUGACUGGCAAGCUAGAGUAUGGCAGAGGGGGGUGGAAUUCCGCGUGUAGCAGUGAAAUGCGUAGAUAUGCGGAGGAACACCGAUGGCGAAGGCAGCCCCCUGGGCCAAUACUGACGCUCAUGCACGAAAGCGUGGGGAGCAAACAGGAUUAGAGACCCCCGUAGUCCCUGUCUCUUAUAC
rnacentral:rRNA from 1 species